GUGGGCACUCUAAGGAGACUGCCGGUGACAAACCGGAGGAAGGUGGGGAUGACGUCAAGUCAUCAUGGCCCUUACGGCCUGGGCUACACACGUGCUACAAUGGUCGGUACAAAGGGUUGCCAAGCCGCGAGGUGGAGCUAAUCCCAUAAAACCGAUCGUAGUCCGGAUCGCAGUCUGCAACUCGACUGCGUGAAGUCGGAAUCGCUAGUAAUCGUGAAUCAGAAUGUCCACGGUCGAAUACGUUCCCGGGCCUU
rnacentral:rRNA from 1 species